rnacentral:lncRNA from 1 species
GAAUUAUUGAAAGAGCCAACAGGGAGGCCACAAAAUGACCCUCAAGGAGAUCCUAGAGCUAAACUACCCCAUCCUCUUGCUCAGGUGAAGGUGUAGAGACUGCACCAAGCACUGGUAUUGGCUGACUCUUAAAGACAAAAGAUCUUGUCAUUAUUGAACCCAGCAAGGCUGCCUUGAAAGAAAUGCUCACCCUAAAACUCAAGGGAAGGACAGAAGAGCCUAUGACAUGAGAUCAGCAUCUCCUCACUCAGUAAGCUGUGGUAUAGGACUCCCCAAUGUCCCCUUCAUGAUCCAGUACUACACAGCAUUAGUCAGAUCUCAGGCAACGAACACCUAAGGUCCUGCUGCUGCUGCUGAAGAUCCCUCCUUGAUCUGUUACAUAGAGCGGUAGUGUCACCGCAAAGAAGCUGAUGAUGGCCAUUCAUAAGCCCAGAAGAUAUCACACUGUCUCUCACAGGCAGAGUCUAAAUUUAAAUUUAUUUAUGCGUAGGCACAUGCAUGUAUGUAUGCAUAUAUUAACACAGGACUUGGACAUAGAAAGACUUCUGUGAGAGAGAAGGGCACUGUGGGAGAGAAAGGAGAGUCCCUAGAUCAGAGCCAAGUUGGUGACAUUUCAUCAGUGCGGAGCGAAACCUGGAGUCUACAUUUGUCUAGAAUGAGUCUGAAGCAGGUAUUCUUCAAGGGCUGAGCAACAGUCACGGACCUCUUUCCUAAGUACCAGCCAUGAGUCAGAAACCGAAUGGUGGUUUUGAGUGAGCCACACCUUCUGUGGUAGAUGGUAUCUUUACCCUUAUCAUGUCCUGCUUGUGGACUGAAUACAUUUUUC